UCCGUUCUUUGUAUCUUGUAUGAAUAAUCUCUUGUAGGUUAAUUGGCUUGCAGCAAGGUUGAAACCCCACUCUGUAGUUUCUCUUCAGAUCUUGCAGUAGCAAAGCAAGGUAACUACGAGGGAGCUAAACUUCAGUUUGUUGCAUCUUACUUUGAGCAUAAUGACUUGCUUGCUUCUUGCACUUUAUUACAAGAUUUGUCGUCGUGCUAAUCACAGUUUGUUGCACCUUACUUUGACCAUAAUGGUAAGAUCAAUUUUUCCAUUCGCACAUGCAAAUCUAACAAAUGUCUGUAGAAAUUGAUUACUGGGAACUAAACUGAAGCUUGCUAUAUUUUAAAGAUCAACAAUACGCACAUGAUCGGUAUUUUUUAGUGAGAGUUGUAUUUCAGUAACAAAAAUUCUAGUUUUAGAGGAGGAACUAGGUCUCUAGAAAACCAGCACAAGUUAUACUGCAUAGUGAAAUAAACAAGUUAGCCUAGUGUUUGUUUUCAUUUUACAUCCCAUGUAUUACUGUGCUAGCAAGAGUUGAUUUCAUGUUCUGAGGCCAGGACCUUCACACCUUAGUUAAGCCACGCCACAAAAUUGCAAGUUUCAGGAUUCCAAUAAAUUAGCUCCAUGCUAGCAACUGUACUAGUUAAAGCAUACAGUGCGAUAAAAUCUUUUCAAGUUAAAGCAUAUGAACUGAAUAUCCACACAACGAUUAUCUUUCAGAUAAGGAUUUUUUUUACCUGUAUCUGUUGGCCAUUUUGGUCUAAUUAUAUCACUAAUUAUGAUUUGUUAAUUUACCUGAGCUUAGAGGUAUAACACCGAGUCUCUUAUUUCAAAGUUGUAUAUACAUUAUGUGUUGGUAUUUCGCACACCAAGCAACAUUCACUUAAAUUUGAACAAUUCAGUUUGGUUCUUGUAGGCCAACUAAAUUUCAAUUACAAUAACAUUAUACUUCAUCCCUCUUACAACUAUUAGUAUUAUCAUUUCUUAGGGAAUGUGAUGCAAGACUGGAGAGUGGCAAAGUGGCAGAUGACAUCUAUGUGGAGGGUGAUGAUGAUCCAUGUGGCAAUGAGCAAUAUGAUAACUAGGGCGAUGACGGUGAUAAACUCGACGUUCUCUUCAAGUAAUGCAACAAAGAGAAGUUCUAAAGUUUGUGGAAAAUUUAGCUUAUGUAAAAUCUUUGUACAAGUUACUACUUUGUUUUGUAUUUGACAAUUUUAAGAUGGAUCAUAAUGGUCAAUGUAAUUUGGAUGCAACUAAUUAGGCCUAUGAUACUUUCCGAGGUUAUCCUAAAUAAAUAUAUAUUAUGGUCUUUUGUGAUGUGUGCUUGUGUACUUAUGAGAUGUAUUUGAAAUGCAAUAUUCUGAAAUGCUAC
rnacentral:lncRNA from 1 species